rnacentral:rRNA from 1 species
AUACGGGGGGGGGCAAGCGUUGUUCGGAAUUACUGGGCGUAAAAGGGCUCGUAGGCGGCCAACUAAGUCGGAUGUGAAAUCCCCCAGGCUCAACCUGGGAACUGCAUCCGAUACUGGAUGGCUUGAAUUCGGGAGAGGGAUGCAGAAUUCCAGGUGUAGCGGUGAAAUGCGUAGAUAUCUGGAGGAAUACCGGUGGCGAAGGCGGCAUCCUGGACCGACAUUGACGCUGAGGAGCGAAAGCCAGGGGAGCAAACGGGG